rnacentral:rRNA from 1 species
GACAGAGGGUGCAAACGUUGCUCGGAAUUACUGGGCGUAAAGCGCGUGUAGGCUGACCGGAAAGUCGGGCGUGAAAUCCCUGGGCUCAACCCAGGAACUGCACUCGAAACUCCCGGUCUUGAGUGGUGGAGAGGGAAGUGGAAUUCCUGGUGUAGAGGUGAAAUUCGUAGAUAUCAGGAGGAACACCAGUGGCGAAGGCGGCUUCCUGGACACCAACUGACGCUGAGGUGCGAAAGCGUGGGGAGCAAACAGG